GAUGAAGAACGUAGCGAAAUGCGAUAAGUAAUGUGAAUUGCAGAAUUCAGUGAAUCAUCGAAUCUUUGAACGCACAUUGCGCUCCCUGGUAUUCCGGGGAGCAUGCCUGUCCGAGCGUCAUUACAACCCUCAAGCUCAGCUUGGUGUUGGGCCCCGCCGCCCCGGCGGGCCCUAAAGUCAGUGGCGGUGCCGUCCGGCUCCGAGCGUAGUAAUUCUUCUCGCUCUGGAGGUCCGGUCGUGUGCUCGCCAGCAACCCCCAAUUUUUUUCAGGUUGACCUCGGAUCAGGUAGGGAUACCCGCUGAACUUAAGCAUAUCAAUAAGCGGAGGA
rnacentral:misc_RNA from 1 species